rnacentral:rRNA from 1 species
AGCAGCAGCCGCGGGAAUACAGAGGGUGCGAGCGUUAAUCGGAUUUACUGGGCGUAAAGCGUGCGUAGGCGGCUUUUUAAGUCGGAUGUGAAAUCCCUGAGCUUAACUUAGGAAUUGCAUUCGAUACUGGGAAGCUAGAGUAUGGGAGAGGAUGGUAGAAUUCCAGGUGUAGCGGUGAAAUGCGUAGAGAUCUGGAGGAAUACCGAUGGCGAAGGCAGCCAUCUGGCCUAAUACUGACGCUGAGGUACGAAAGCAUGGGGAGCAAACAGGAUUAGAUACCCCAGUAGUCCCUGUCUCUUAUAA